rnacentral:rRNA from 1 species
CCUACGGGGGGCAGCAGUGAGGAAUAUUGGUCAAUGGGCGGAAGCCUGAACCAGCCAAGUCGCGUGAGGGAUGAAGGCCCUGCGGGUCGUAAACCUCUUUUGCCGAGGAGCAGAGGUCCGGACGUGUCCGGGCCGGGAGAGUACCCGGAGAAAAAGCAUCGGCUAACUCCGUGCCAGCAGCCGCGGUAAUACGGAGGAUGAGAGCGUUAUCCGGAUUUAUUGGGUUUAAGGGGUGCGUAGGCGGGCAUUUAAGCCGGCGGUCAAAUGUCGGGGCUCAACCCCGGCCUGCCGUCGGAACUGGGUGCCUUGAGUGGGCGAGAAGUAUGCGGAAUGCGUGGUGUAGCGGUGAAAUGCAUAGAUAUCACGCAGAACCCCGAUUGCGAAGGCAGCAUACCGGCGCCCUACUGACGCUGAGGCACGAAAGUGCGGGUAUCGAACAGGAUUAGAUACUCCAGUAGUC